UCCCUGGUGGCUCAGACGGUAAAGCGUCUACCUGCAAUGCAGGAGACCCAGGUUCAAUCCCUGGGUCAGGGAA
rfam:TPA: Bos taurus chromosome 21, whole genome shotgun sequence.